rnacentral:rRNA from 1 species
GAUGAACGCUAGCGGCAGGCCUAAUACAUGCAAGUCGGACGGGAUCCAUCGGUAGCUUGCUAUCCAUGGUGAGAGUGGCGCACGGGUGCGUAACGCGUGAGCAACCUGCCUCCAUCAGGGGGAUAGCCUCUCGAAAGAGAGAUUAACACCGCAUAACAUAUCAGACCGGCAUCGGUCGGAUAUCAAAUAUUUAUAGGAUGGAGAUGGGCUCGCGUGACAUUAGCUUGUUGGUGGGGUAACGGCCCACCAAGGCGACGAUGUCUAGGGGCUCUGAGAGGAGAAUCCCCCACACUGGUACUGAGACACGGACCAGACUCCUACGGGAGGCAGCAGUAAGGAAUAUUGGUCAAUGGGCGGAAGCCUGAACCAGCCAUGCCGCGUGCAGGAUGACUGCCAUAUGGGUUGUAAACUGCUUUUGUCCGGGAAUAAACCUCCUUACGUGUAGGGAGCUGAAUGUACCGGAAGAAUAAGGAUCGGCUAACUCCGUG